GGUUAAGCGACUAAGCGUACACGGUGGAUGCCCUGGCAGUCAGAGGCGAUGAAGGACGUGCUAAUCUGCGAAAAGCGUCGGUAAGGUGAUAUGAACCGUUAUAACCGGCGAUGUCCGAAUGGGGAAACCCAGUGUGUUUCGACACACUAUCAUUAACUGAAUCCAUAGGUUAAUGAGGCGAACCGGGGGAACUGAAACAUCUAAGUACCCCGAGGAAAAGAAAUCAACCGAGAUUCCCCCAGUAGCGGCGAGCGAACGGGGAGGAGCCCAGAGCCUGAAUCAGUGUGUGUGUUAGUGGAAGCGUCUGGAAAGGCGCGCGAUACAGGGUGACAGCCCCGUACACAAAAAUGCACAUGCUGUGAGCUCGAUGAGUAGGGCGGGACACGUGGUAUCCUGUCUGAAUAUGGGGGACCAUCCUCCAAGGCUAAAUACUCCUGACUGACCGAUAGUGAACCAGUACCGUGAGGGAAAGGCGAAAAGAACCCCGGCGAGGGGAGUGAAAAAGAACCUGAAACCGUGUACGUACAAGCAGUGGGAGCCCUGAUUUAUCAGGGUGACUGCGUACCUUUUGUAUAAUGGGUCAGCGACUUAUAUUCUGUAGCAAGGUUAACCGAAUAGGGGAGCCGGAGGGAAACCGAGUCUUAACUGGGCGUUAAGUUGCAGGGUAUAGACCCGAAACCCGGUGAUCUAGCCAUGGGCAGGUUGAAGGUUGGGUAACACUAACUGGAGGACCGAACCGACUAAUGUUGAAAAAUUAGCGGAUGACUUGUGGCUGGGGGUGAAAGACCAAUCAAACCGGGAGAUAGCUGGUUCUCCCCGAAAGCUAUUUAGGUAGCGCCUCGUGAAUUCAUCUCCGGGGGUAGAGCACUGUUUCGGCAAGGGGGUCAUCCCGACUUACCAACCCGAUGCAAACUGCGAAUACCGGAGAAUGUUAUCACGGGAGACACACGGCGGGUGCUAACGUCCGUCGUGAAGAGGGAAACAACCCAGACCGCCAGCUAAGGUCCCAAAGUCAUGGUUAAGUGGGAAACGAUGUGGGAAGGCCCAGACAGCCAGGAUGUUGGCUUAGAAGCAGCCAUCAUUUAAAGAAAGCGUAAUAGCUCACUGGUCGAGUCGGCCUGCGCGGAAGAUGUAACGGGGCUAAACCAUGCACCGAAGCUGCGGCAGCGACACUGUGUGUUGUUGGGUAGGGGAGCGUUCUGUAAGCCUGCGAAGGUGUGCUGUGAGGUAUGCUGGAGGUAUCAGAAGUGCGAAUGCUGACAUAAGUAACGAUAAAGCGGGUGAAAAGCCCGCUCGCCGGAAGACCAAGGGUUCCUGUCCAACGUUAAUCGGGGCAGGGUGAGUCGACCCCUAAGGCGAGGCCGAAAGGCGUAGUCGAUGGGAAACAGGUUAAUAUUCCUGUACUUGGUGUUACUGCGAAGGGGGGACGGAGAAGGCUAUGUUGGCCGGGCGACGGUUGUCCCGGUUUAAGCGUGUAGGCUGGUUUUCCAGGCAAAUCCGGAAAAUCAAGGCUGAGGCGUGAUGACGAGGCACUACGGUGCUGAAGCGACAAAUGCCCUGCUUCCAGGAAAAGCCUCUAAGCAUCAGGUAACAUCAAAUCGUACCCCAAACCGACACAGGUGGUCAGGUAGAGAAUACCAAGGCGCUUGAGAGAACUCGGGUGAAGGAACUAGGCAAAAUGGUGCCGUAACUUCGGGAGAAGGCACGCUGAUAUGUAGGUGAAGCGACUUGCUCGUGGAGCUGAAAUCAGUCGAAGAUACCAGCUGGCUGCAACUGUUUAUUAAAAACACAGCACUGUGCAAACACGAAAGUGGACGUAUACGGUGUGACGCCUGCCCGGUGCCGGAAGGUUAAUUGAUGGGGUCAGCGCAAGCGAAGCUCUUGAUCGAAGCCCCGGUAAACGGCGGCCGUAAACUAUAACGGUCCUAAGGUAGCGAAAUUCCUUGUCGGGUAAGUUCCGACCUGCACGAAUGGCGUAAUGAUGGCCAGGCUGUCUCCACCCGAGACUCAGUGAAAUUGAACUCGCUGUGAAGAUGCAGUGUACCCGCGGCAAGACGGAAAGACCCCGUGAACCUUUACUAUAGCUUGACACUGAACACUGGUCCUUGAUGUGUAGGAUAGGUGGGAGGCUUUGAAGUGUGGACGCCAGUCUGCAUGGAGCCGUCCUUGAAAUACCACCCUUUAAUGGCUGGUGUUCUAACGUGGGCCCGUAAUCCGGGUUGCGGACAGUGUCUGGUGGGUAGUUUGACUGGGGCGGUCUCCUCCUAAAGAGUAACGGAGGAGCACGAAGGUUGGCUAAUCCUGGUCGGACAUCAGGAGGUUAGUGCAAUGGCAUAAGCCAGCUUGACUGCGAGCGUGACGGCGCGAGCAGGUGCGAAAGCAGGUCAUAGUGAUCCGGUGGUUCUGAAUGGAAGGGCCAUCGCUCAACGGAUAAAAGGUACUCCGGGGAUAACAGGCUGAUACCGCCCAAGAGUUCAUAUCGACGGCGGUGUUUGGCACCUCGAUGUCGGCUCAUCACAUCCUGGGGCUGAAGUAGGUCCCAAGGGUAUGGCUGUUCGCCAUUUAAAGUGGUACGCGAGCUGGGUUUAGAACGUCGUGAGACAGUUCGGUCCCUAUCUGCCGUGGGCGCUGGAGAACUGAGGGGGGCUGCUCCUAGUACGAGAGGACCGGAGUGGACGCAUCACUGGUGUUCGGGUUGUCAUGCCAAUGGCACUGCCCGGUAGCUAAAUGCGGAAGAGAUAAGUGCUGAAAGCAUCUAAGCACGAAACUUGCCCCGAGAUGAGUUCUCCCUGAGACUUAGAGUCUCCUGAAGGAACGUUGAAGACGACGACGUUGAUAGGCCGGGUGUGUAAGCGCAGCGAUGCGUUGAGCUAACCGGUACUAAUGAACCGUGAGGCUUAACCUU
rnacentral:rRNA from 1 species